GAAGAAAACAAAGGGGCGACCAAAGCUCCCUUCACAAACCCUAGUUCUUGCUUUUUCAUCAAAUUGAAAGGGUAAAUCGGCUCCAAAUCGAAAUCCAAACUCAGAAUAGUGAUCACUUUCGUGAAAGGAUCAUAAGUUUGACGUCUGACAAGCUAUGUGGAAGCUUGGAAAGGAAGCGGGUCAAACGGAUCAAAUAAGCGGAGAAUAGCAAAAAUGGAUGCAAGGUGAAUGUCGUUACCAUCCGGAUGCCGAUCAAGCAACGAAGUGAACCGAACACAUACAUAAUGAAGCUUCCGCGAUAUCUUUCUUUUGUUAAGUUUAAAAAUGAAAGUUGUAAACACUUGAU